AGAACCUUUAGUUUAAUUUAGAAUUUCUCGCUUACAAUGAGAGGGUUAUGAGGUUUUA
rnacentral:tRNA from 1 species